CCUACGGGUGGCAGCAGUCGAGAAUCAUUCACAGUGGGGGAAACCCUGAUGGUGCGACGCCGCGUGGGGGAAUGAAGGUCUUCGGAUUGUAAACCCCUGUCAUGUGGGAGCAAAUUAAAAAGAUAGUACCACAAGAGGAAGAGACGGCUAACUCGGUGCCAGCAGCCGCGGUAAUACAGAGGUCUCAAGCGUUGUUCGGAAUCACUGGGCGUAAGGCGUGCGUAGGCUGUUUCGUAAGUCGUGUGUGAAAGGCGCGGGCUCAACCCGCGGACGGCACAUGAUACUGCGAGACUAGAGUAAUGGAGGGGGAACCGGAAUUCUCGGUGUAGCAGUGAAAUGCGUAGAUAUCGAGAGGAACACUCGUGGCGAAGGCGGGUUCCUGGACAUUAACUGACGCUGAGGCACGAAGGCCAGGGGAGCGAAAGGGAUUAGAUACCCUGGUAGUC
rnacentral:rRNA from 1 species